UGUAGCAAUACGAUGGAAAGUCUAGUGGCGAACGGGUGCUUAACACGUGGGCAAUCUGCCUUAAAGUGGGGGAUAGCUCGGCGAAAGCCGGAUUAAUACCGCAUGUGGCCAGGGAAGACAUCUUCCUGACGCUAAAGUCGGGGCAACCUGACGCUUUUUGAGGAGCCCGCGGCCUAUCAGCUAGUUGGUGAGGUAAAGGCCCACCAAGGCUUUGACGGGUAGCUGGUCUGAGAGGACGACCAGCCACACUGGGACUGAGACACGGCCCAGACACCUACGGGUGGCAGCAGUCGAGAAUUUUUCUCAAUGGGGGAAACCCUGAAGGAGCGACGCCGCGUGGAGGAUGAAGGUCUUCGGAUUGUAAACUCCUGUCAUUGGGGAACAAUGCGUGACGGUUAACUGCCGUUGCGUUGAUAGUACCCGAAGAGGAAGAGACGGCUGACUCUGUGCCAGCAGCCGCGGUAAUACAGAGGUCUCAAGCGUUGUUCGGAUUCAUUGGGCGUAAGGGUGCGUAGGCGGCGCGGUAAGUCGGGUGUGAAAUCUCGGAGCUUAACUCCGAAACUGCAUUCGAUACUGCCGUGCUUGAGGACUGGAGAGGAGACUGGAAUUCACGGUGUAGCA
rnacentral:rRNA from 1 species